UUCGGUCCCUAUCUGCCGUGGGCGUUGGAGAUUUGAGAAGGGCUGCUCCUAGUACGAGAGGACCGGAGUGGACGCACCUCUGGUGUUCCGGUUGUCACGCCAGUGGCAUUGCCGGGUAGCUAUGUGCGGACGGGAUAACCGCUGAAAGCAUCUAAGCGGGAAGCCCCCUUCAAGAUGAGAUCUCCCCGAGGCCUCGAGCCUCCUGAAGGGCCCAGCGAGACCAGCUGGUUGAUAGGCACGGUGUGGAAGCGCUGCAAGGCGUUGAGCUAACGUGUACUAAUGGCCCGUGAGGCUUGACCAUA
rnacentral:rRNA from 1 species